GGUUAAAUCAAUCAGUCCCAAAGGUUCCCUACAUAUGUAAAGCAGGUUGCUUUACAUAUGUAGGGAACCUUUGGGACUGAUUGAUUUAAC